GGAAUAUUGUAUAUGGAAAGUGAUGUACUUGGCUGGGGACCCAUUUCUAAAAUUUGGCUGGAAGAAAGGAACCAACAAGAAAAAGCUGUAAGUGGAAUGGUUUCAUGAAAAGCAAACAUUUUACAGACUGUGAUUGUUGACUUUUAUUAUUAUGUCAGUAUUAUUGCAGUAGAAAAAGUUCAAUGGUGGGCUACAAAAUUAAUAAAAGGAAUGGAAGAUUUUAGUUAUGAAAAAAGAUUAACACAUUUAGAAAAUGGUUCCUCAGAGGGGAUAUGAUAACAUUAUACAAAUAUAUUUUAGGCCAAUUUAAACCAUUGUCUGGAAAUCUAUUCAUAAACAGGACUAUACAUAGGAAACAAGGGCAAGCAUGUAGACUGAAAAAAAGGAGAUUUAACCUAAGGCAAAGGAAAGUUUUUUUUUUGUUUUUUUACAAUAAGAACAAUAAGGAUGUGGAAUUCUCUGUCAGAAUAGGUGAUUAUAUCAGAAUCUAUACAGAUGUUUAAACAGCAACUGGAUGAAUACUUGCAAAAACAGGGGUCAGAUUUAGAUACCCUUUUAUUGUUGGCCUAGAGUUCCCUAUAAUAUUGAUAGAGAAACUACACAUCCAAUUACAUGAUUAGUGAUAGUACCACUUUAAUUUACCAUAUUUGGAGUUAAUUAUUCAGCACACUAUAGGUUUAUUAUUGCAGGGUUCUAAUGGAGUGGGUGCCGUUUUAGAGGAAGGUGGCAUGGCGUGAGAUUUGUUGUCAUAAUGUAAUAGUUAGAACUUGCUAUCGUUGGACUUAGGCUGCAGUAUAGGGUGUGGUUUGGGGAGGUACUGAAGUCAAAAUAUGUAAAGGGGCCAUAAAAUGUACCCCAGGGAUUAAGCUACAUGUUUGCUGUGCUAAUUCUAAUUAGAUCUACAAACAGAUGAAAGAUAUAUAGUUUAGGUCAUUUCCAUUCCCAUUUCCAUUUCUCAGAAUAUAACAAAACGUGUUAUGAAAUAACCUUAGUUUGUACCAGUGGAGAUUAUUAAAUCAUGCCAGAAACCUGUGUAAUAUUUGUAGUUUUUGAUCAAUACUGUUCUCAGUUCUUCUGUAUAGUUUUGAUAAUGAAAGAUAAAAAGUUAGAUAUGCUUUAUUAAGCAAUAAUGUCUAUUCUUAUGAGGAGAGGGAAAUAAUUGACAUCUUAUGAGUUGUGUACAUUUUCAGGUUCUUUCAAAAGCCUUCUACAAGACGUUGGAUCCAAUCUUCAAUCUUAUUCUACAUGAAACCAAGUAAUAACAUACAUUUUUUUUAUUAACUGAGUUUACAUUGACCCAAAUGUAUAUGAUUAUGUGUAGCAGUGGCUGAUAACAGAGCAGACACCACACCACAGUCCAUGUCUUAAACUAAAACUAAGAAUUUUCUGAGUCCGUUUUAUUAAUUGCAUUUAUCAUUAGGUUUUUCAUCUUGAUGGACAUCUUGGGCUCUAAAUAGCCUCUUUGUAUUGGGUAUGAAGGCAAAACGUAUUGCUUGGUCAUCUGUGCUGCUCUAAGUAAGGGUGGUUCAGCUGUAUACGUGUAUAUUUAAACUUGACAAAUUGUAACUGAACCUUAAAUGCUUACUCCAAGCACCAUGACCACUUCAGUGUAACCACUCUGCUGCCAGAGGGGUAACUUCACCUACAGCCGCAUUAUUGGGGUGUCAUCAUCCAAUUUGGAACUAGAGCCUAGGCUAGCUAAUGUCAAUUCUGUGCAACUUUCAUUGCACAGAAUGUAAGUCAUUGGCUGAGAGCAGUCAGCUUAUGCUUUCAGCCAAUGAAUGAUGAAGCCGGAAGCUCAUCACAAGACCACUAGAGAGCAUUGGCCUAGUGGCCCAGGUGAGGAGGCAAACUGUUUGCCCCAUUCCCGUAAAACUAUGCCAGGGUUCUCCUGUCAUCAUAACCACUACAGGCCAGUCACAUCUAGAGGUGGUUUUAGUUUGACAUUGCCAUCUAGCUGAUUGUUAAGAAAGCUGACUUUGAUUUUUAAUACACAAUGCAAAUUAUGCAUAGAUUUUUGAACAUUAUUCAGUCCAUGAACUUCUUGUCCAAUUAACGUGAUUCCGUUUUAUAGACCACUGGUCCCAGUCACGGAAGUUGGGUUAUUCUGCACUUGCACAAACCUUUUGACAGUCAUGUUGAAUGAAAAAGCUCAGAGCAUUGGAGGACAGCUUCACAUUGAAAGACUCUUCAUAUUUUGCCUUAUCUGGUCGGUAG